CCUACGGGAGGCAGCAGUGGGGAAUCUUGUGCAAUGGACGAAAGUCUGACACAGCCACGCCGCGUGCGGGAAGAAGGCCUUCGGGUUGUAAACCGCUUUCAGCAGGAACGAAAAUGACGGUACCUGCAGAAGAAGAUGCGGCCAACUACGUGCCAGCAGCCGCGGUGAUACGUAGGCAUCAAGCGUUGUCCGGAUUUAUUGGGCGUAAAGAGCUCGUAGGCGGUUCAGCAAGUCGGGUGUGAAAACUCUGGGCUUAACCCAGAGCCUGCACUCGAAACUGCUGUGACUAGAGUUCGGUAGGGGAGCAGGGAAUUCCUAGUGUAGCGGUGAAAUGCGCAGAUAUUAGGAGGAACACCAAUGGCGAAGGCACUGCUCUGGGCCGAUACUGACGCUGAGGAGCGAGAGCGUGGGUAGCAAACAGGAUUAGAUACCCUGGUAGUCCACGCCGUAAACGAUGGGCACUAGGUGUGGGUCUCUAACCAACGAGAUCUGCGCCGUCGCUAACGCAUUAAGUGCCCCGCCUGGGGAGUCGGUCGCAAGACUAAAACUCAAAGGAUUGACGGCUGAGACGNGCGAGACGACGACGAGGGAGGAGG
rnacentral:rRNA from 1 species